rnacentral:rRNA from 1 species
AUUGAACGCUGGCGGCAGGCUUAACACAUGCAAGUCGAGCGGAGAGAGGUAGCUUGCUACUGAUCUUAGCGGCGGACGGGUGAGUAAUGCUUAGGAAUCUGCCUAUUAGUGGGGGACAACAUUUCGAAAGGAAUGCUAAUACCGCGUACGCCCUACGGGAGAAAGCAGGGGAUCCUCGGACCUUGCGCUAAUAGAUGAGCCUAAGUCGGAUUAGCUAGUUGGUGGGGUAAAGGCCUGCCAAGGCGACGAUCUGUAGCGGGUCUGAGAGGAUGAUCCGCCACACUGGGACUGAGACACGGCCCAGACUCCUACGGGAGGCAGCAGUGGGGAAUAUUGGACAAUGGGCGCAAGCCUGAUCCAGCCAUGCCGCGUGUGUGAAGAAGGCCUUAUGGUUGUAAAGCACUUUAAGCGAGGAGGAGGCUACUUUAGAUAAUACCUAGAGAUAGUGGACGUUACUCGCAGAAUAAGCACCGGCUAACUCUGUGCCAGCCGCCGCAGUAACAC